GCAGAGUGGAUCCAUGGAAAACACUGGGUAGGAAAAAAAGAAAACCUUGAAAUAUUAGCUUCAAUGAAGGAAAAUCUGGAUAACUUAUUCUUAUGAAUCUGAAACAAUUUAAGAAAACAAAUGACUGCUUGAUUUUUGUGCCAAUUGAAUAGAAUGGGAUUCAAUUUUUAAUAGCAAGUUGGCAUGGCUAAGUAAGGUCCCUGGGAUUCUCUUGCAAUGCCGUGAAAGCAAAAGGACAGCUCUCCUAACAAGAAGCCAAGAUUGCUACAGGAGGCUGAGGAGAGGAAAAAGCCCUUUUCUCAUCACCAUUGAUUCCUUCAGUCUCCAUGAUUUCCUCUCAAGAACUGCCAUUUGUUGCUGUAGAUGGCCCAGUUGCAGACGUGCCUGAGUUCAGGAUUUGGAGUGGGAGAACCUUAUGGCCCAGACCUGGAAGAUGGAACAUCACAUUCCAUUGAGAAGAAUCCAUUGUCUCAUGGCUAACCUAACUGCAAUAGCUAGAAAUGUGAUCUAGCUUGGUGCCCAGGAAAAAGCAAAAGAGUACAACAUGGAUAUUGAGUAACACUAGCAUUUUCAACCAUGAAGAGAGUAGAGUCGUUGUGAGAAAAGUAUGUAAAGUUAUCGAGGUAAUCGGUGAUGAAACCCUGACAUGGAAUGUAAAUUGCUUGUGGUUGAAGACAAAGGAGAGUUUUGUGUUGGCCAGCUGGGUUGGCAGAUAUUAAAGCAAAGGAAGAAUAGAUGGCCUUAGUGUUGAGCUGAGACUCUUCAUAUAAGCUUCUCAUCUUGACUGGCACCAUGAUGUACUCUGAGCAAAUAAUUUCACUUCCAUAGGCCUCAAUGUCUUUAGCUGUAUCUUUACUUGGAACAGAAAUAGACAUAUGUACUCUAAGAUCACAACUCUUGACUGCUUGUCUGCUAAAAGCAUUCUUGUCAUGUUUUUAGAUUGUGAUAUUUUUGCCUUUUUGGAGAAAUUUGCAGACAUAUAUUCCACAGUUACAAAUAACAGUGACCAGUUCAGUUCCCUAUGCUUACUUCCUGUCAUUUGUACCUUUAAAUUCCAUUCAUUCAAGGCUUAAAAUGACAUUGCCUUUUCUGUUUAGAUUAUUCACAUUAGUCUCUGAUAAUAAUACCUACAAUUUAUGGAGCCCUAACUCUAGACCAAGUUCUUUACUUAAUGUAUCCUCACAAUAACCAUUGGAGGGAAGUGCUGUUAUUCCCAUCCUCAAGAUGAGGGAAUUGAGGUGAGGAGAUUGGGUGGCCUGACUUAGCAUGCCACGUAGCUAGGUUUACGAAACAUUUUCUUUGACCCGGAAAGAGUUUUAACAAUGAGCACUGUUAUUAAAAGUUCAAAUUAGCCUUUCUAUUUCUGGGUCUUACAUUUUAUCAUGUAUGUAUCUAUUAUUUGUAUUUCUCACUAGUAUUUUAAAAAUCUACAACUCUUGCUAUCCUCAAUGCUAUUGUGUAUAGUUAUUUACCCAACUUUCUCACCCUUGUUCAUAUAAUAUUCAAUAAAUUUUAGAGAGCAAGUAAUAAUCUUAUUUAAAUCAUUACUCUAAAUAUAAAUAUAAGAACCUUUACCUUUAAUAAAAUAGAAUUGAUUGUCUAAUUGAAAUUGAAACUGAUUAUCUUAAAACUUUAGGAGACAAACAUUCCUGAAAUGAGAAUGUAGAUGUCAUUGCCUUGCUUUUCCUAACAAAACUAUUCUUUUUAGUACUAGUUUAUUUAAUCUGGACUCCAAAACAAUUUCCAGAUGAAUAAUGAUCCUAAAGAAAACUGAAGCUUUGGUCUUUAUAUUCAUGAUUCCUUGGGGAUAUUCCCUAUAGUUGUUAAAAUUGUUCUAUAAGAAAACUGAAACUAUAGUUGAAUAUUUUCAAUCAUGUGGAAAUGUUAGAUGCCUUUUUGAGAAGUCUGGUGGAGUUUACAUAAUCAACUAAAUAGCUUUUAUUUGCAUGCUUGGAUAUUAAUGUAUUGGUAUUUUGAAUACUGGUUGAGAAACAACAGCCAGUAUAUUAAUUCUGUCUAAAAAAGAUACUUGCUCAUAUUUUAGCACAUUUAAGAGGUAAAUUUAUAGCUAAUUUUCUGUAUGAAGAAUUGCUUUGGCUUAUUUAUUGAUAUGCAGAAGAAAUGUUCAUUUUCUUUCCUUUAGAAACAUUCCAAGUAAAUGAC
ensembl:lncRNA novel transcript